rnacentral:rRNA from 1 species
UACGGGGGAUGCGAGCGUUAUCCGGAUUUAUUGGGUUUAAAGGGUGCGUAGGCGGCGCUUCAGGUCAGCGGUGAAAUACCGGGGCUCAACCCCGGGGCUGCCGUUGAAACCGGAGCGCUAGAAUUCCGAUGCCGUCGGAGGAAUGUGUGGUGUAGCGGUGAAAUGCAUAGAUAUUAGGAGGAACACCAGUGGCGAAGGCGGCUUACUGGACUGUAACUGACGUUGAGGCUCGAAAGCGUGGGGAGCAAACAGG